rnacentral:rRNA from 1 species
AUUGAACGCUGGCGGCAGGCCUAACCCAUGCAAGUCGAGCGAGCGGCGGACGGGUGAGUAAUGUCUGGGAAACUGCCUGAUGGAGGGGGAUAACUACUGGAAACGGUAGCUAAUACCGCAUACCCUCAGAUGUGCCCAGAUGGGAUUAGCUAGUAGGUGGGGUAAUGGCUCACCUCGGCGACGAUCCCUAGCUGGUCUGAGAGGAUGACCAGCCACACUGGAACUGAGACACGGUCCAGACUCCUACGGGAGGCAGCAUUGGGGAAUAUUGCACAAUGGGCGCAAGCCUGAUGCAGCCAUGCCGCGUGUAUGAAGAAGGCCUUCGGGUUGUAAAGUACUUUCAGCGAGGAGGCGUUACUCGCAGAAGAAGCACCGGCUAACUCAGGGCCAGCCGCCGCGGUAAUAC